GGUUAAGGAGAGUUUGAUCCUGGCUCAGAUUGAACGCUGGCGGCAUGCUUUACACAUGCAAGUCGAACGGCAGCACGGGGGCAACCCUGGUGGCGAGUGGCGAACGGGUGAGUAAUACAUCGGAACGUACCCAGUAGUGGGGGAUAACGCGUCGAAAGAUGUGCUAAUACCGCAUACGCACUACGGUGGAAAGCGGGGGACCGAAAGGCCUCGCGCUAUUGGAGCGGCCGAUGUCCGAUUAGCUAGUUGGUGGGGUAAAAGCCUACCAAGGCGACGAUCGGUAGCUGGUCUGAGAGGAUGAUCAGCCACACUGGGACUGAGACACGGCCCAGACUCCUACGGGAGGCAGCAGUGGGGAAUUUUGGACAAUGGGCGAAAGCCUGAUCCAGCCAUGCCGCGUGAGUGAAGAAGGCCUUCGGGUUGUAAAGCUCUUUCGGCCGGAACGAAAUCGCUCAAGCUAACACCUCGAGCGGAUGACGGUACCGGAAUAAGAAGCACCGGCUAACUACGUGCCAGCAGCCGCGGUAA
rnacentral:rRNA from 1 species